GUGUAUCAGAGGAGUGGAAACUACGCGAAAAUUGGUUAACGCUAAUCCCAGCUUGCCUAAUUCGCCAUAUAAUCCGACGGAAACUCACAGCAGUUUCCCCGUUGGUAAAGUUAAUAAAUGUCGCGGUGAGGCGACCGGCAAGUUCGAAGCCUGUUCGGAGUUUCGCGUCGGAGCACGGCACAAGGUAUCCGACGGUUUUGAUGCUUCGGAAUACACUGCUAAUCGGUUUCCAAACUCCUCCUUGUAUAUAUAUUUAUGCUUGCGACGGCUGAUCGAACAAAUCAGAUCCCGCUAUCUCGCUGGAAUUCGAUUCAACGUUAAAUUUUAGAGAGAUAGCAUAUCAAUUACAAAAAUUUUAAAUAUAACAUUUUCUUAUAUUGUUACUAAAUUAUUAAUCUUUUCAGGAUGGUAGGGCAUUAUAGUGACGUUGAAAUAAAUUCUGAAACAAGGAAUACAAUGAAUUAUAACAAGUCUUUCUCAAAGAAGAGUUGUAAAAUUUUAGAAAUAGAUUUUUCUAUCCUCUAAAGAUCAAGAUUAUUAGAUUAUUAGGAAUAAAAAUUGGAAUUUUAGAGUCAAUUUCUUUAAUGAACAUUAAACGUAGCGUGCAAUGAAUACGAAGAAAAUGUAAAAUAUAAAUGUGUCGUACAAGAUAUAACAUAAAUUAUUAUUUAUGUACAGCUUUAACAAAUUCUAAUUCUUAUUCCUUCAUUGUGCCUAAUUUCUCAAAUAUUUAUUUUUGGUCACAUUGCCGUAACUUUAAUUAAGACAUACUAUCAAAAAAAGUGAUACGCUAGAUUGGUAACCUUUCUCUACAUAAAAUCCAUCUUUAUAAGCUUAUUUUCCUAAAAGUUUCGACGCGUGGCAACAAUGUACUGGAAUGCUUCGAAAACUUUAAUAGAACGUUAUCGCGCAAUGGGAACAUUUAGGGAAAUUAGUCUAUUUCGAUGAAAUAGAAAUAUUGAAAUGCGACGGUGGAAUAUAUAUACAGUGCUCAUCGAGUAUGUACGAUUCGUACGAUCGUUAACUAUUCCUACGAGCGAGCCGUUUAGCAAAUAGCGCAAACUUGGCAAACACUUCCGGGGCUGCCAGCCAUUACGGAGUCGCGCGUGUAUCCAUUAAAUUCUCCGCCGCGGCGCAAGAGAAAGGGCAUUUAACAACGAUGCUUUAUGCAUAUUCUAACGAGCUUGCAAUCAACUGGUACUAAACAUCGCCGGGGCUUCCCGCCACCCCCUUGCGACCCGCUUUUGUAACACAAGGCAAGGGAAAGAGUAAAAGAUAGGAGGACGAGCGGAGGGGUGAACACGAUGGAAGGGCGCAAGGGGGUGGGAUGGCCGAAGGUGCGGGAAGUGCCGUCGGUGUAGGUGUGUUGGCAACGUGAUUGUAUAGGUGGAGUAACUGGUAGAUAGCGAGCUGUGGAGAGACGGGAAGAGAGCGUGCCGCGGCAAAGAGAGUGGGGUCCAUUAGCUUUGACGCUCGUCUCAAAGGGAAGCUGCCGUUUUAGCGUCGUGUACCGGCCUGUUUCCUAAGCACCCCUUUCACGUUGCGCGACGUUAUUGCACCGGAGACCGGGAAAAUAACCCGAUGCCCGACGACGACGACGACGACGACAAUGAAUGAACUAAGGGCACAUCGUACAGGACACGUUCUUUACAGCGAAAGAUGUUGCUUCGAGUUCACGGUGGCUGUCUGAAAGAUUCGUAUGAAGGUGCUUAUAUCCUAUGGCUUCCUCACAACAGGGGCAGGUAGGAUGUGCAUGGAAAGCGGAUUGAAUUAGGAUUUGGAAGAAAGGCUGAAGGGGUGGGCUGACCCAAUUUGCAUGGCAUAAACCACGUCGGUCCUUGAGAUUCAAUUUAGCAGGAGGGGCAUACGUACAGAGCUUUCCUUGAUAUCAGACAGACUGUUAUCAUCGGAAUUAUUAUUGCUCUUACGAAAAUUUAAAUUAUAUUGACAAGAAGGGUUGACGAAUACGUAUCACUUAAAUUAUUUUUUAUGUUAAUCAUAUUUCUCAUUUUCUAUCGAUUUGUAUGAAAAUAAACGUUGAAAAUUGUAAUUUGAUGUUUUAGAUAUCUAUUAUUACAAUGUUUAUUUUUCUACUGCACAAAUUAAUUUAUUAUAAACUUUUAUGCAAUGUGCUACCAAAAGUACAAUUUAGAGAAUUAUGUAAUAUAAAUCGUCUAAAUCAUAUUUGAAGGUCUCUUAAAUUAUGUCAUCUUUAAAAUUCGAAUUUAUAAAUUACAAUAAUUAAAAUAUAGAGCAUUAUUAAUUAAUGCUUAUUUUAUUAAUACUUUAUUUAAAAAGGC
rnacentral:lncRNA from 1 species